GCGGCUUUAGCUCAGUUGGGAGAGCGUCAGACUGAAGACAUUCAGUCGGAAUUCGGCACACUGUGCUAAUCUGAAGGUCACCCGUUCGAUCCGGGUAAGCCGCA